UACGUAGGGCGCAAGCGUUGUCCGGAAUUAUUGGGCGUAAAGAGCUCGUAGGCGGCCUGUUGCGUCCGCUGUGAAAACCCCGGGGGCUUAACCCCCGGGCUUGCAGUGGAUACGGGCAGGCUGGAGGCAGGCAGGGGGAGAACGGAAUUCCCGGUGUAGCGGUGAAAUGCGCAGAUAUCGGGAGGAACACCGGUGGCGAAGGCGGCUAUCUGGACCGACAUUGACGCUGAGGCGCGAAAGCGUGGGGAGCAAACAGG
rnacentral:rRNA from 1 species